rnacentral:rRNA from 1 species
AGUGGCGGACGGGUGAGUAACGCGUGAGAAUCUGCCUUGGGGUCGGGGACAACCACUGGAAACGGUGGCUAAUACCGGAUAAGCCGAUUGGUGAAAGAUUUAUUGCCCGAAGAGGAGCUCGCGUCUGAUUAGCUAGUUGGUGAGGUAAGAGCUCACCAAGGCAGCGAUCAGUAGCUGGUCUGAGAGGACGAUCAGCCACACUGGGACUGAGACACGGCCCAGACUCCUACGGGAGGCAGCAGUGGGGAAUUUUCCGCAAUGGGCGAAAGCCUGACGGAGCAAGACCGCGUGAGGGAGGAAGGCUCUUGGGUUGUAAACCUCUUUUCUCAGGGAAGAAGCUCUGACGGUACCUGAGGAAUCAGCCUCGGCUAACUCCGUGCCAGCAGCCGCGGUAAUACGGAGGAGGCAAGCGUUAUCCGGAAUUAUUGGGCGUAAAGCGUCCGCAGGUGGCGAUUCAAGUCUGCUGUCAAAGCACGGGGCUUAACUCCGUAAAGGCAGCGGAAACUGAAUAGCUAGAGUGCCGUAGGGGUAGAGGGAAUUCCCGGUGUAGCGGUGAAAUGCGUAGAGAUCGGGAAGAACAUCGGUGGCGAAAGCGCUCUACUGGACGGCAACUGACACUCAGGGACGAAAGCUAGGGGAGCGAAUGGGAUUAGAUACCCC